GGUCGACCACGCCUGUUUAUCAAAACAUCGCCUCCUGCUCAAUAAUAAGAGGUCAAGCCUGCCCAGUGACAUUGUUCAACGGCCGCGGUAUCCUAACCGUGCGAAGGUAGCGUAAUCACUUGUUCUUUAAAUGAGGACUAGUAUGAAUGGCCCCACGAAAGCUAUACUGUCUCCUUUUCCAAUCAGUAAAACUAAUCUCCCCGUGAAGAAGCGGGGAUUUAUAUAUAAGACGAGAAGACCCUAUGGAGCUUCAGACAUUUUAGACAUUUGAACUUAAUAUUAUACUUUCCGAAAAAUUCUAAAUUUAUCAUUUUGUCCUAAGUCUUGGUUGGGGUGACCACGGAGAAAAAUCAACCUCCACGUGGAAAGAAGUUAUUCUUCUAAGCAAAAGUCACAUCUUCACGCAUCAAAAUAUUGACCUUUGACCCAAUUAUUUGAUCAACGAACCAAGUUACCCUAGGGAUAACAGCGCAAUCCGCCUUAAGAGCUCUUAUCGACAGGCGGGUUUACGACCUCGAUGUUGGAUCAGGGUAUCCAGUGGUGCAGCAGCUACUAACGGUUCGUUUGUUCAACGAUUAAAACCCUACGUGAUCUGAGUUCAGACCGGGCGUGGUCGAA
rnacentral:rRNA from 1 species